GCCUGGGUGGCUCAGUCGUUUAAGCGUCCGACUUCAGCUCAGGUCACGGUCUUGUGGUUCGUGGGUUCGAGCCCCAUAUCGGGCU
rnacentral:tRNA from 1 species